UGUCUGGCUUUAAACAUGUGCUAGGGUCAGGCUAGGGUCUGCAGGCGGUGACUCAGAGGCUCGAGGUUUCGUUUCCUGGUUAGCGGCCUGCGCUUAUCCUGCCCCACCACCCCCUUAGGUAUGCAGGGUAAGGGGCAGCAAUUUUCUUGGGGUACCUAGUGGGCAAGCACGGGCUGGGGUCUUUCAUUCCCCCAUUUCCUUUUGCCUGAAUGAAAUCCUUCAUUCACCCGACGUUUCCUCCGUUAAUUUAAGCUGAUGAUAUUGUUGGGUUAGUACUAGGGCCUGUACGACCGAUAGUCGGUCUUUUACAAAUUGUAUCAGGUGAUUUAUAAUGCAGGGACCUAAGGUAAGAAUUAGCAUUAAUAGUAUUAGUGGUCCCAUUAGGGAGGAUAACAGGGUAGCGAACCAUGGGGACUUGUUCCAUGAUCCUUUGUACCAGCUGUACUUGUAAGCUCCAAUUUUAAGACAUACUCAUACCAUUUGCUACAUACUUAAACUUUCUGAGGUUUG